ensembl:lincRNA 4930505N22Rik RIKEN cDNA 4930505N22 gene
AGCGCCUCGGCGUCCCCGAGGCCCCAGCGGGACCUCCGAGAGGCCGGACCCAGCCGGUAGCGGGCGAUCGAAGGCAGCGAGGCGGACUCUGAGGUCCCAGGCCCGACCCUCCCACAGCAAGCGGCCCCAGCAACCGCAGCCCUCCCCUUGCUCUGUCACCCGUGUCGCCGCGGCACACUCAGGCCCCGCCCCCAGGGCCGCCUCUGCGUCCAGGCCUAGUAGGGCGGACCCGCAGAGGUCGGCCAGGUUCGAGGACCCGGCAGGGCCCGCGCCGCUUACCGAGCCCCCGGCUUCUCUAGCACCCUAGCAGCUCGCAGGCCUGCUCGCUCCCGACUCCGGCGACGCCGCCACUGCUCCGGAAUCACGGGCGCGUUCCCGACCUCCCGACACUUUUCCCCCAGGCCGCCGCUCCCCGCCGGGUCCUAAAACCCUCCGCUCUUCAGGUUCUUUCACGCCCUCUUCCUGAAGCGGGUUCAGACCACGAUUCCCAGCAAGCAUCGCAAAAACUACAACUCCCAACAGACACCGCGAGAGAACUAGCCCUUCACCUGAAGUCACUGGCUUUAAAUCGGCUCUAGUAGAGGUGUGAGGUAUGCAGCUACUUUAGAUGUCCCCAGGAGCUGACCCAUGAUUUGUCUCAUGCCCUGGCAGGGGCAUGGUUUUUAACAUCUAAACAUAGUUUACGUUUGGAAUUCUGGGGAGUCUUAAGAGAAGAUAAAAAUGCUAUAGCCCCAGAGGCUGCUGCAUUGCUGGACUGCUGGAUGGAGAGAUCCUGACUACCAAGAUCAAACUGCCCCAAGGAACUGGACAUCGCUUGCAGCAGGAACUAGUCUAAGAUGGACGCCUCCUUUCCCCUCUAACCUCCUCUCCUACCUAGUGUUGGGGAGGUUAGAAGGGUUGAGAAAAGUGGUGGGAAAAACGAUCCAAUAAAGUAGCCAAAAGUGU